CUCCUACGGGGGGCAGGCAGUGGGGAAUUUUUGGCGUCAAUGGGGGAAACCCUGGACGCAGCAACGCCGCGUGGAGGAUGAAGCCCCUUGGGGUCGUAAACGUCCUUUCGACCCGGAAGAAUGCCCGCAAGGGUUUGACGGGUACGGGUAUAAGGAAGCCCCGGCUAACCUACGUGCCAGCAGCCGCGGUAAUAC
rnacentral:rRNA from 1 species